rnacentral:lncRNA from 1 species
AUAUUAGCCUGAGGACGCUGCUUGUUAUCCCUCCGAGGCUGACGGCAGUCUGCCGAUCGAUGCCCAAUUUUGUCACAAUUGAAGCAUUUUCCGUUGAACUGGAACUUGGGUUUCUUUCCUACUCCACCGGUAGGCUUCAUCUGAGACCCUUUCUUGGUCUGCUUUUUAUCUUUCCAAUUUUCGUUUCCCUGUUUGGCUUUAAAAGAAUGACCUUUCUUGGUACCAGAACUCUGGCCGUGCUCUAGGACAUUGGCCUUCUCAGAGUAAGAAUUCCCUGACUUACGUUCA